GUGUCAGCCGCCGCGGUAAGACGAACCGUACGAACGUUAUUCGGAAUCACUGGGCUUAAAGGGUGCGUAGGCGGCGGCGCAAGUUGGGUGUGAAAUCCCUCGGCUCAACCGAGGAACUGCGCUCAAAACUGCGUCGCUUGAGGAAGAUAGAGGUGAGUGGAACUUAGGGUGGAGCGGUGAAAUGCGUUGAUAUCCUAAGGAACACCAGUGGCGAAAGCGACUCACUGGGUCUUCUCUGACGCUGAGGCACGAAAGCUAGGGUAGCGAACGGGAUUAGAAACCCGAGUAGUCC
rnacentral:rRNA from 1 species